CAUUACCGAGUGAGGGCCCUCUGGGUCCAACCUCCCACCCGUGUUUAUUUUACCUUGUUGCUUCGGCGGGCCCGCCUUAACUGGCCGCCGGGGGGCUUACGCCCCCGGGCCCGCGCCCGCCGAAGACACCCUCGAACUCUGUCUGAAGAUUGUAGUCUGAGUGAAAAUAUAAAUUAUUUAAAACUUUCAACAACGGAUCUCUUGGUUCCGGCAUCGAUGAAGAACGCAGCGAAAUGCGAUACGUAAUGUGAAUUGCAAAUUCAGUGAAUCAUCGAGUCUUUGAACGCACAUUGCGCCCCCUGGUAUUCCGGGGGGCAUGCCUGUCCGAGCGUCAUUUCUGCCCUCAAGCACGGCUUGUGUGUUGGGCCCCGUCCUCCGAUCCCGGGGGACGGGCCCGAAAGGCAGCGGCGGCACCGCGUCCGGUCCUCGAGCGUAUGGGGCUUUGUCACCCGCUCUGUAGGCCCGGCCGGCGCUUGCCGAUCAACCCAAAUUUUUAUCCAGGUUGACCUCGGAUCAGGUAGGGAUACCCGCUGAACUUAAGCAUAUCA
rnacentral:rRNA from 1 species